GAUGAAGAACGUAGCGAAAUGCGAUAAGUAAUGUGAAUUGCAGAAUUCAGUGAAUCAUCGAAUCUUUGAACGCACAUUGCGCCCGCUAGUAUUCUGGCGGGCAUGCCUGUUCGAGCGUCAUUUCAACCAUCAAGCUCCUUAGCUUGUGUUGGGGACCUGCGGCUGCCGCAGCCCCCGAAAUGCAGUGGCGGGCUCGUUGUCACACCGAGUGCAGUAAUCAUUCUUCUCUCCGGGCGUGGCGGCGGGUUCCGGCCGUAAAAUCACCAAUUUAUCAAGGUUGACCUCGGAUCAGGUAGGAAUACCCGCUGAACUUAAGCAUAUCAAUAAGCGGAGUA
rnacentral:misc_RNA from 1 species